rnacentral:rRNA from 1 species
AUUGAACGCUGGCGGCAGGCCUAACACAUGCAAGUCGAACGGUAACAGGAAGAAGCUUGCUUCUUUGCUGACGAGUGGCGGACGGGUGAGUAAUGUCUGGGAAACUGCCUGAUGGAGGGGGAUAACUCCUGGAAACGGUAGCUAAUACCGCAUAACGUCGCAAGACCAAAAAGGGGGACCUUCGCGCCUCUUGCCCUCGGAUGUGCUCAGAUGGGAUUAGCUAGUAGGUGGGGUAACGGCUCACCUAGGCGACGAUCCCUAGCUGGUCUGAGAGGAUGACCAGCCACACUGGAACUGAGACACGGUCCAGACUCCUACGGGAGGCAGCAGUGGGGAAUAUUGCACAAUGGGCGCAAGCCUGAUGCAGCCAUGCCGCGUGUAUGAAGAAGGCCUUCGGGUUGUAAAGUACUUUCAGCGGGGAGGAAGGGAGUAAAGUUAAUACCUUUGCUCAUUGACGUUACCCGCAGAAGAAGCACCGGCUAACUCCGUG